GACGAACGCUGGCGGCGUGCUUAACACAUGCAAGUCGAACGGAAAGGCCCUGCUUGCAGGGUACUCGAGUGGCGAACGGGUGAGUAACACGUGGGUGAUCUGCCCUGCACUUCGGGAUAAGCUUGGGAAACUGGGUCUAAUACCGGAUAGGAACCAUCUUUAGUGCGGUGGUUGGAAAGUUUUUUCGGUGUAGGAUGAGCUCGCGGCCUAUCAGCUUGUUGGUGGGGUAAUGGCCUACCAAGGCGGCGACGGGUAGCCGGCCUGAGAGGAUGUACGGCCACAUUGGGACUGAGAUACGGCCCAGACUCCUACGGGAGGCAGCAGUGGGGAAUAUUGCACAAUGGGCGCAAGCCUGAUGCAGCGACGCCGCGUGGGGGAUGAAGGCCUUCGGGUUGUAAACUCCUUUCGCUAGGGACGAAGCUUUGUUGUGACGGUACCUAGAUAAGAAGCACCGGCUAACUACGUG
rnacentral:rRNA from 1 species